GAUGAACGCUGGCGGCGUGCCUAAUACAUGCAAGUCGAGCGAACGGACGAGAAGCUGGCUUUUCUGAUGUUAGCGGCGGACGGGAGAGUAACACAUGGAUAACCUACCUAUAAGACUGGGAUAACUUCGUGAAACCGGAGCUAAUACCGUGUAAUAUUUUCAACCGCAUGGUUGAAAAGUGAAAGACGUUCUGGCUGUCACUUAUAGAUGGAUCCGCGCUGCAUUAGCUGGUUGGUAAGGUAACGGCUUCCCAAGGCAACGAUGCAUAGCCGACCUGAGAGGGUGAUGGCCCACAGUGGAGCUGACCCACGGUCUAGACUCCGAGGGGCGGCCGCGGCUGGGACUGUUCGCAACAGGGCGGAAGCCUGCCGGAGCGACGCCGCGCGGGUGCUGCAGGUCUUCGGGCCGUAUGACGCUGUUAUUGGUGAAGACCAUAUGUGUAAGUGACUGUGCACAUCGUGACGGUACCUACUCAGAAAGCACCGGCUAACUACGUG
rnacentral:rRNA from 1 species